rnacentral:rRNA from 1 species
GACAGCACUUGGAGGAUGUAUAGCAAUAGCUAGUUGCAUCAUUGUAGAAAUGAUGCAAAAUCGACUAUGUUGAAUAAAAUUCUAGGUAGAAUUAUGAUAAUGACAUUGUCUGCCUAUGUGUCUUGACCAAAUUACGUGCCAGCAGUCGCGGUAAUACGUAGAAGACUAGUGUUAUUCAUGUUUAAUCGGUUUAAAGGGUACCUAGACGGUAGAUCAAGCUUUCUAAUAAAGGAAAAGGACUAAUUUACUAGAGUUACUUAUGAGGGGGUAUUAAAGUACUGCUGGUGUAGAGAUGAAAUUCUGUCAUACCUCUUUUCAAAAGAAAAACCAUGGCACAGGUAUAGGCGAAGGCAUCCCCUUAUGUGAUAACUGACGUUGAGGGACGAAGGCUUUACAUAGCGAACAGGAUUAGAUACCCCAGUAGUCGAAGCAGAAAAUGAUGAAUGUCAUAGAUUAGAUAUAUAAGUUUAUUCUAUAAAUGAAAGUGUAAGCAUUCCACCUCAUGAGUAAUUUGGCAACAUUGGAACUGAAAUCAUUAGACCGUUUCUGAAACCAGUAGUGAAGUAUGUUGUUUAAUUUGAUGAUCCGCAAAAAACCUUACCACAAUUUGAAUAUUUAUAUUAUUUAUUGUUUUAUUAUUAAUUUUCUUGAACGUAAACAUGACGUAAAAAAAAAGAAAGAAAAAGAGUACAAUGAUAAUAGUAAAAAAAUUAAUAAAGAGGCAAUAAGAUAUAUUUACAAGCGUUGCACGGCUGUCUUCAGUUAAUGUCGCGAGACUUUGGUUAGUUCCAUUAAAUUAACGUAAA